GUGAAUCAGUAAGCACGACAUUUUCAUUAAAAAUUUGAUUUAUUUUCGAUUUGAAUAUGGAGAAUAUUGUAAUUCGUUCACCUGGCCGCUUCAGGAUCAGUUCAAUUAUUUUCUGCAGAGGCGAGAAAAAUUCUUAUAUUCCAAAGAAACCAUUAUAGCAAGAGGUCAGCAGGUUAACUUAUUAAAUAUAAUUCUUGAAAAUAAGGAAAAUCAACUGCCAAAUUAUCUCUGAGAGGAUCGAUUCGAGGUACUAAUUAUUUAAUUUUAAAUAAAGCGUUAUUACUCAUUUAUGUACAUAUAAGCGACUAAUUAUUCCAAUGAAUGGCUAAAAAGUGCUUCGUCAGCAUACGAAAUACCAGGAGACCAUAGAUGAGCAGCAAGAGGAAAUAUGAAUAAUUCACUAGCACCACCUGGAUUUCAAGUAGCAUUUUACAAGAAAUCUAGGCCUAAUGAAAUUUUCUUAUAUUCUACCAGGCCAACAAAAGUGACUAGCAGGUGGCUGUAGACAAAUUCACUUGCGGCACGUGGUUAGAUGAAAGCUCGCAUAGUCCCGCUCUUAGGAUCCACAUAUUAGAGCUUACGUUCGGACAAAUUGACCAAUGGCAUCAAGACAUAUUUGUAAAUCAAUCCACUUGCUAUUCUAUUAUGUUCGCCUGGUAUUUCAGCUGCUCCACGUUGCAGUUCACUAUGCUUCUCGUCUACAUUUAUCAGCACCGUGCAUAACUGCCAACAGAAUAAAUGUUGCCCAUCCCACAGGACAAAAUAAAUUAUUAAUUUGCGUUAUAAGUGUAAUAUUUAUUUAUUUAAAUUGUA